CUCAACUGGAACACGAAGGGACACAAAGACAACUGUGGCUCUAAAAAGCAAGAACAAGCCUGUGAUGCAUGGACCUCCUGAAGCCCAACUAUGGAGACCUCAAGCCCCUGAAGACCAUGAGAAAACACCAUUGUUAAAUACGUGCCCCUGAAAUCAGUGGACCCUGCACCUGCAAAGCUGACGUCUCCACUAGACAUGAGGAACAGAAGCAACAUCUCCCAGCAUCCCCACACACCCACAGACUGGGUCCUUCUUCCAAGCCCUUAUCUCUCCCACAGCACUCUGCCUCACUGUCAAAGCCAGUUAGCCUCCAA